GAUUAGUGCUCCGCAUCUGCGGUUUUGUCCACCUGGACCCGAACCGGCCCAUUGGUAUCGGGUCGGCGGUUAUCGAUCUGUUUUGGGGAAAACGCUUAAGAUGUCUCACCGACGGCGCCGGCGCCGGCCGAAAUCGAGCCGCGGUAUCCGAUGCGGGUUGAAGCUUUUGUCGCACGCCGAAGCUGCUGCUAGGUCAGUGACUCGGGGAUUUCAUGCAGCUAGCUUGAAGAGAACGGGAGGGCAUGGCCAUGAUGAACCAUUUUAUGUUCAUGCGAAACACAUGUAUAAUCUGGAUGGCACAAAGAAUCAGAAAUAGAAGGUGACUUUGGGAGUGUUCUCUGGCUUCGGCAUCAGAGUGGCAGUUCCACUUUAUGCAGUUGCAUUCCAGCAGAGGAAGACUGCCUCUGCAUAAGAGAGAGAGAGAUCAUUCAACUAAGAAAAGAAAAAUAGAACUUAUCAUCAUUGCCUCUAGUAUUUUUCUGCUGGAGACGAUUGUUUCUUUUGUCAGUUUCUCCUGUUUCAUUCAAAAAACUGGAUACAGAAUGUGGCAGUUCAUUGCUACUUGGUGAUUGUUUGCUUCUUUUUUUCGCUUCUUCCAUAUGAAAGGCUGGGUUUUUUAAUCCUCAGUUUGAUGCUUGUAUGCGAAUGUCAUUAUCUGAUAUAUUUAUAUGCUGGUUGAUCA